rnacentral:tRNA from 1 species
GGGGCCGUCGUCUAGCUUGGUAGGAUACUUGCUUGGGGUGCAAGUGGUCGUGGGUUCGAAUCCCACCGGCCCCA